UGAUUAUUUCCAUUUUUCAAUAGUUCCACUUUCACUCUUUUCCCCCUCACGGAUGGAUCUGCAUGGAGCCAUUCAGGACAAGGAGAGAGGUAUGACUUCCUCUUCCUCUUUUUGGGUGGAACCGCUAGGCCUCUCCAGUUUUCAACAGCAUCUUCAUCUGUUGGAUGGAUGUUUGUGACCGUGUCAGACUUCCCAGAACAGGAAGCAUCCAUUUCUGCUUUUCCAUCUACACUGCAAGUUGUGAAAAAAUUAGCAUAUUGCCCUCAAUGAAGGACAGAUGUCGAGCAAUGAAUCGAUCCACCCGAAUAGGCAAGUUUUCAUGCUUGAAGAGCCCACGUUUGAUGUUUUUGAACUCUGCUUGAACACUGGCUGAACUUGCGGUGAUGUUGGUGCUUCGGAAGUGAGGGAUCAUUACCCCGUCCAGAGUAGUCUGUCUGUGUUUGGUCAAAUGGAUCCACUUCUUCCAGGUCCUCAUCCUCUACAUCUGGAAUGAUUACACACUCUUCUGCAAUUCGGGCUUUCAGCAGUCCCACUGGCAGAUCAUCUUGAUGCAGUGUACAACAUCAACCCGAACAAAACAAGGUGGCACUUUUGCUGACACUUUACCGAGUAAGACACCACAACACUCAUUGAUGUAGGUCUUCAGAUCAGGAUGAGGAGUAAAAACCUUGACCAGAGCUCCAAGCAAAACCAGAGAAAAGUCACUCACAACCUCUUUUGGAAUUGGUGCACCUGCACGUAUCCAUUCUGUCAGCCAAUGUGUUAUCGCAUUAACAUCGUGUUUCUCUGACAGCAUUUGCACC